rnacentral:rRNA from 1 species
GCCCAGACUCCUACGGGAGGCAGCAGUGGGGAAUAUUGCACAAUGGGGGAAACCCUGAUGCAGCGACGCCGCGUGAGCGAUGAAGUAUUCCGGUAUGUAAAGCUCUAUCAGCAGGGAAGAAAAUGACGGUACCUGACUAAGAAGCCCCGGCUAACUACGUGCCAGCAGCCGCGGUAAUACGUAGGGGGCAAGCGUUAUCCGGAUUUACUGGGUGUAAAGGGAGCGUAGACGGCAAUGCAAGCCAGAUGUGAAAGCCCGGGGCUCAACCCCGGGACUGCAUUUGGAACUGUGUAGCUGGAGUGUCGGAGAGGCAGGCGGAAUUCCUAGUGUAGCGGUGAAAUGCGUAGAUAUUAGGAGGAACACCAGUGGCGAAGGCGGCCUGCUGGACGAUGACUGACGUUGAGGCUCGAAAGCGUGGGGAGCAAACAGGAUUAGAUACCCCCGUAGUG